rnacentral:rRNA from 1 species
UCUGGCUCAGGAUGAACGCUGGCGGCGUGCCUAACACAUGCAAGUCGAGCGAGAAGCUACCUAUGACCCUUCGGGGGAUUAGACUAGUGGACAGCGGCGGACGGGUGAGUAACGCGUAAAUAACCUGCCAUACACACAAGGAUAGCCAUCGGAAACGGUGAUUAAUACUUGAUGAGGCUACAGAUUCGCAUGAAUCAGUAGUUAAAGAAUUUUGGUGUAUGAUGGAUUUGCGUUUGAUUAGCUAGUUGGUAAGGUAAAAGCUUACCAAGGCGAUGAUCAAUAGCCGGCCUGAGAGGGUGAACGGCCACGCUGGAACUGAGACACGGUCCAGACUCCUACGGGAGGCAGCAGUGGGGAAUAUUGCACAAUGGAGGAAACUCUGAUGCAGCAACGCCGCGUGAACGAAGAAGGCUUUCGAGUCGUAAAGUUCUGUUAUAGGGGAAGAAGCAGUGACGGUACCCUAUGAGAAAGCCACGGCUAAUUACGUGCCAGCAGCCGCGGUAAUACGUAAGUGGCAAGCGUUAUCCGGAAUUACUGGGCAUAAAGAGUUCGUAGGCGGUCAAUCAAGCCAAUAGUGAAAUCCAUCGGCCUAACCGAUGUAAGCUAAUGGAACUGAGUGACUUGAGUACAGGAGAGGAAAGUGGAAUUCCUAGUGUAGUAGUGAAAUGCGUAGAUAUUAGGAAGAACAUCAGUAGCGAAGGCGACUUUCUGGACUGUAACUGACGCUGAGGAACGAAAGCGUGGGGAGCGAACAGGAUUAGAUACCCUGGUAGUCCACGCCGUAAACGAUGGAUACUUGGUGUUGGCCGUAAAGGUCGGUGCCGGAGCAAAUGUAUUAAGUAUCCCGNCUGGGGAGUACGGUCGCAAGGCUGAAACUCAAAAGAAUUGACGGGGACCCGCACAAGCAACGGAGCAUGUGGU